rnacentral:rRNA from 1 species
UAGGGAAUCUUCCACAAUGGGCGAAAGCCUGAUGGAGCAACGCCGCGUGUGUGAUGAAGGGUUUCGGCUCGUAAAACACUGUUGUAAGAGAAGAAUGACAUUGAGAGUAACUGCUCAAUGUGUGACGGUAUCUUACCAGAAAGGAACGGCUAAAUACGUGCUAG